rnacentral:rRNA from 1 species
GACGAACGCUGGCGGCGCGCUUAACACAUGCAAGUCGAACGGAAAGGCCUGCUUUCCCUUGUGGAUUGCGGGUACUCGAGUGGCGAACGGGUGAGUAACACGUGAGUGAUCUGCCCCCAACUUGGGUAUAAGCCUGGGAAACUGGGUCUAAUUCCCGAUAGUACUGCAGGGUGGUGCCUGUGGUGGAAAACGAUUUUCUAGUGGUUGGGGAUGAGCUCGCGGCCUAUCAGCUUGUUGGUGGGGUAAUGGCCUACCAAGGCGGCGACGGGUAGCCGGCCUGAGAGGGUGGACGGCCACAUUGGGACUGAGAUACGGCCCAGACUCCUACGGGAGGCAGCAGUGGGGAAUAGUGCACAAUGGGCGGAAGCCUGAUGCAGCGACGCCGCGUGGGGGAUGACGGCCUUCGGGUUGUAAACUCCUUUCGACCGCGAGGAAGCCACCUGGUUGGAAGGGUGGUGACGGUAGUGGUAGAAGAAGCACCGGCUAACUACGUG